rnacentral:rRNA from 1 species
UACGGAGGGUGCAAGCGUUAUCCGGAUUCACUGGGUUUAAAGGGUGCGUAGGUGGGCAGGUAAGUCAGUGGUGAAAUCAUCUGGGCUUAACUCAGAAACUGCCAUUGAUACUAUCUGUCUUGAAUACCGUGGAGGUCAGCGGAAUAUGUCAUGUAGCGGUGAAAUGCUUAGAUAUGACAUAGAACACCAAUUGCGAAGGCAGCUGGCUACACGAAUAUUGACACUGAUGCACGAAAGCGUGGGGAUCAAACAGG